rnacentral:lncRNA from 1 species
UCGGCUCACUGCAAGCUCCGCUUCCCGGGUUCACGCCAUUCUCCUGCCUCAGCCUCCCGAGUAGCUGGGACUACAGGCGCCCGCCACCGCGCCCGGCUAAUUUUUUGUAUUUUUAGUAGAGACGGGGUUUCACCUUGUUAGCCAGGAUGGUCUCGAUCUCCUGACCUCAUGAUCCACCCGCCUCGGCCUCGCAAAGUCCUGGGAUUAUAGACAUGAGCCACCGUGCCCGGCCUGUUUAUUCAUUCAUUCUUUUGAUGGACGCUUGGGUUGUUUCCAUCUUUGGAUAUUAUAAAUAAAACUGAUAUGAACAUUUUUAUACAUGUCUUAGUAUGAACAUAUACUUUCAUUUCUCUUAUGCGAUACCUAGGAAUGAAGUGACUAGGUCGUACGAUAGGUAUGUAUUUUAGUUUUUAAAAACCCGCCAAACUGUUUUCCAAAGUGGCUGUACUAUUUUGUUUUUAGACGGAGUCUCGCUCCGUCCCCAGGCUGGAGUGCAGUGGUGUGAUCUCUGCUUACUGCACCCUUUGCCUCCCGGGUUCAAGCGAUUCUCCUGCCUCAGCCUUCUGAGUAGCUGGGACUACAGGUGUGUGCCACCACGCCCGGCUAAUUUUUUGUAUUUUUAGUAGAGACGGGAUUUCACCAUGUUAGCCAGGAUGGUCUCGAUCUCCUGACCUGACCUCAUGAUCCGCCCGCCUCGGCCUCCCAAAGUGCUAGGAUUACAGGUGUGAGCCACCGCGCCUAGCUGACUCAAAAUAUUUUCUAAUUUACCUUAUGAUUUUUCUAAUUUACCUUCUUCUUUGACAUACUGGUUUUUUUUUUUUUUUUUUUUUGAGAGGGAGUCUUGCUCUGUCGCCCAGGCUGGACUGCAGUUUCGCGAUCUCAGCUCACUGCAAGCUCUGCCUCCCGGGUUCACGCCAUUCUCCUGCCUCAGCCUCCCGAGUAGCUGGGACUACAGGCGCCCACGACCACGCCUGGCUAAUUUUUUUUUGGUAUUUUUAGUAGAGACGGGGUUUCACCAUGUUAGCCAGGAUGGUCUCGAUCUCCUGGCCUCGUGAUCCACCCGCCUCGGCCUCCCAAAGUGCUGGGAUUAUAGGCGUGAGCCACCGCGCCCGGCCCGUACUGGUUAUUUUUGAAGUAUGUUGAUUAGUUUCCACUUAUUUGUGAGUUUUCCAAAUAUCUUUGUUAUUAAUUUCUGAUUUCAUUCCAUUGUGGUCAGAAAACGUAUUUUGAAUUACUUCAGAUUUUAACAAUUUAUUAAGACAUAUUUUAUGGCCUAGCAUAUAAUUUAUAGUGGAGAAUGUUUCAUGUGUACUUCAGAAGAAUGUGUAUCAUAUUGUUGUUGGGUAGGAUGUUCUAUAGAUGUUCGUUAGGUCUGGUUGGCAUACAUUCUGUUUUUUUUCUGAUCUGAUAUCUAGUUGUUCUCUUUAUUAUUAAAAAUGAAGGCCAGGCAUGAUGGCUCACACCUGCAAUCCCAGCACUUUGAGAGGCCAAGGCAGGCAGAUCACCUCAGGAGUUCGAGACCAGCCUGGCCAAUAUGGGGAAACCCUGUCUCUACUAAAAAUGCAAAAACCAGCCAGUCGUGGUGGCACACACCUGUAAUCCCAGCUACUCGGGAGGCUGAGGCAGGAAAAUUGCUUGAACCUGGGAGGUGGAAGUUGCAGUGAGCCGAGACUGCACCACUGCACUCCAGACUGGGCAAAAGAGCAAGACUCCAUCUCAACAACAACAAAAAGAGUAUUGAAGUGGCUAAAUAUUAUUGGUGUAUUGUUUAUCUUCCCUCCAAUUACUGCAGUUUUUACUUCAUGUACUUUGAGGCUCUGUUUUUCGGUGCAUAUAGGCUUACAAAUGUUAUAUCUUCUUGAAGGAUUGACCCUUUUAUCAUUCUAUAAUGUCCUUCUUUGUCUCUAGUAACAUUUUUUUUGUCUUAAAGCCAAUUUUUUUCUGACAUUAAUAUAGCCACUCUAGCUCUCUUUUGGUUACUUUCUGCAUGGAAUAUUUUUGCAUCCUUUUACUUUCAACCUAUUUGUGUUUUUUAAUCCAUUCUGCCAAUCUGUGCCUUUUAGUUAGAGACUUUAACCCAUUUAAUUUAAUGUAAUUAAUCAUAAGGAUUUACUUCUCCCAGUCUAUAUGCCAUUUGCCUUUUUAUUCCUUGGUUCUUCCAUUAUAGCCCUCCUUUUAUGUUCUGUAGAUACUCUCUAGUACACCAUUUUAAUUCCUUGUUGUUACUUUUACUAUAUAUUUUUUAGUUCUUUGUGUUUGCCCUGGGAUAACAAUUAACAUCUUUGUUUAUAGCCAUGUAGUUUGGGUUUUUUUUUUUUCCUAAUUUUUUCUUUUGAGACAGGGUCUCACUCCAAUUUGCCCAAGCUGGAGUGCAGUGGCGCAAUCUUGGCUCACUGCAACCUUCGCUUCCUGGGUUCAAGUGAUUCUCCUGCCCCAGCCUCCCAAGUAGCUGGGAUUCUAGGCUUGCACCACCAUGCCUGGCUAAUUUUUGUAUUUUUAGUAGAGACGGGGUUUCACCAUGUUGGGUCAGGCUGGCUUCGAACUCCUGACCUCAAGUGAUCCGUCCACCUCUACCUCCCAAAGUGCUAGGAUUACAGGCGUGAGCCACCGCCCCUGGCCAGCCCAGGAGUUUGAGACCAGCUUGGGCAACAUAGGGAGACUCCAUCUCUACAAAAAUAAAAUAAUUUUAAAAAGUAUCCAGGCAUGAUGGCACACGCCUGUGUUCCCAGCUACUCAGGAGGCUGAGGUGGGAGGAUCUCCUGGGCCCAGGAGGUUGAGGUUGCAGUGAGGUAUGAUUGUACCACUGUACUCUAGCCUGGGUGACAGAGCAAGACCCUGUCUCGAAAAAAAAUUUACAACAACAGAAAAAUAGGUUUUGUUUUGUUUUGCUCUAAUACAGCCAAAUUGUUAUUUAUCAUGAAAUUUGUGAUGGGAGGGGGAUAGGGAAAAAAAGAAAUAUGCAAUAUGCCUUCUUUCAGUCUUUUUUUUCUUUCCUGUUAUGCCUCUCUACUUGAUUCUGCAUCAGUAGUAUGACCUUAUUUUAAUUUUUUUUUUUUGUUUUGGUGAGACAAGAGUUUCACUCAUGUCGCCCAGGCUAGAGCGCAAUGGCACAAUCUCGGCUCACUACAACCUCUGCCUUCUGGGUUCAAGCAAUUCUCCUGCCCAAGUAGCUGGGAUUACAGGCACCCACCACCAUGCCCGGCUAAUUUUUGUAUUUUUAGUAGAAAUGGAGUUUCACCAUGUUGUUCAGGCUGGUCUCGAAAUCCUGACCUCAGGUGAUCUGCCUUCCCAGAGUGCUGGGAUUAUAGGUGUGAGCCAUCGUGCUCUGCCUGUUUUAAAUUUUAAAAUGCAUCUGUAAUUGUUUUUUAAACUGCAAAAAUGAAUUAAUUAAAUCAUAAUGGAAAUAAGAGUAUUGUAAUUUUCCUACCCAUUACAGUGUACAUAAGCAUCACUAUAACUAGUGCUAUCUACAUAAAAUAUUCAAAUCAGUAUACAUAUUACAGUAUUACAGUGGUACCAUAGAAAAUAUUCAAAUUGAGGCUGGGCGCAGGGCUCACACCUGUAAUCCCAGCACUUUGUGAGUCCGAGGUGGGCAGAUCAGGAGUUCAGGAGUUAGAGACCAGCCUGACCAACAUGGUGAAACCCUGUCUCUACUAAAAAUACGAAAUUAGCCAGGCAUCUUGUAAUCCCACCUACUCAGGAGCCUGAGGCAGGAGAAUCGCUUGAACCUGGGAGGUGGAGGUUGCAGUGAACCAAGAUCAAGCCACUGCACUCCAGCCUGGGUGACAAGAGCAAAACUCCAUGUCAAAGAAAAGAAAAAAGAAAGAAAGCAAAUAUUCCAGUUAAAUCAGGUCAUUGAUUUUGACUAGAUGUCUAAGUGUCAUGUACACCUAGGAGGUAAUACUAGAAACAAUUGGGUAUACCCAACCCUCACACCACAAUGCAAAAGUAACAUUAAUUAACACAGUCAUGAAAUGCAGUUCUACCAAAACAAUAAAGUUGUUUAGUGGAGAAAAUAUUUUAUUUUGCUUUCAUUUUUAAUUUUAAAUUAAGUAAAAUUUGAAAGUUCUUUUGCACUAGCCCACCUAUCAAGUAGUCAGCAGCCACGUGACUGGUACCUUCUACAUUGCACCACACAGUUCUAGAAUUUCAUAUAAAUGAAAUCAUUUACUAUAUACUCUUUUUGGCAUCUUUCAUUCAGCAUAAUUGUUCUAAGAUUCAUGCAUGUUAUGUGUAUCAAUAGUUCAUUCCUUUUUAUUGCUAAGUAUUACCCCAUUGAUUGGAUAUACCACAAUUUUUUAAUCCGUUCAUCUUGUUGAUGGACAUUUAGGUUGUUUUUUAGCGUUUAGCUUUUACCAGUAAAGAUGCUAUAGGCAUCCAGAUAAUAGUGUUUGUAUGGACACAUGCUUUCAUUUUUCUUCAGUAAAUAACCCAGCAGUGGAAUGCUGUCAUCUGGUAGGUAUAUAUUUAAUCUUUUAAGAAACUGCUAAACUGUUUUCCAAAGUGGUUGUACCAUUUUGCGCUCCCUCUAGCAUUGUAUGAGAGUUCCAGUCAUUUUAUAUCUUUGUCAGCACUUAUAUGAUCAGCCCUUUUAAUUUUAGCCAUUCUAAGGAGGUGUUUAGUGGUAUCCUCUUAUGGUUUUAAGUAGCAUUCACUAAUGACCAAUGAUAUAAAGCAUUUGUUCAUAUACCAUACCUGUUUUGUCUUCUUUGGAGAAAUGUCUGUUUAAUUUUCCUCCUAUUUUGCCUGAGCAAGUUGGGGAAAUAGACUGUUGAGUUUUAAUAAUUCUUUAUAUAUUAGAUACAAGUCUUUUGUUGGGUAUAUGUUCUUUAAAGAUUUUCUUUCUUGGGGCUGAGCACAGUGGUUCAUACCUGUAAUCGCACCAUUUUGGGAGGCCAAGACAGGAGGAUCACCUGUAAUCCCACCAUUUUGGGAGGCCAAGACAGGAGGAUCACUUGAGGCCAGGAGUUUGAGACCAGCCUGGGCAACAUAGCGAGACCCUGUCACUACAAAAAAAAAAUAAUAAAGGAAAUAAAAAAACUUAGCCAGGUAUGAUGGCGUGUACCUGUAGUCCCAGCUACUCAGGAGGCUGAGGUGGAAGGAUCACUUGAGCCCAGGAAGUUGAGGCUGCAGUGAGCUGUGAUUGCACCACUGCACUCCAGCCCGGUUGACAGAAUCACUUUGGGAAGCAGUGACAUCCAACCUGUAUCAAGUCUUCUAAUCUGUGAACAUGAGAUGGGUCUCGGCUGUGUUACCUAAGCUGGAGUGCAGUGGCUAUUCCCAGCACAAUCAUAGUGCACUACAGUCUCCAACUCCUGGGUUCAGGUGCUCCUUGUGCCUCCGCCUCCUGAAUAGCUGGGAUUGCAGGCAUGUGCCAUCAUGCCUGGCUAUGUGCCUUCAAAAAGACUACAGUUGUGGAUGGAGUGUUUUAUCAAUAUUAGUUGGUUUAUGAUUGUGUUUAGUUCCAUAUCCUAGCUGAUUUUCUAUCUGUUCUGUCCAUUCUUGAAGAGUCCAACUAUAAUUUUGAGUUUGUCUAUUUCUCCUCAAGUUCUGUCAGUUUUGCUGUAUAUAUUUGAGGUCUGUUUUUAGAUGUGUACACAUUUUAAAUGGUGUUGGGUCUUUACCAUUAUGUAAUGUCCCUCUUAAUCUAUUGUAAAUUUCCUUGCUUUGAGGUAUAGUUUGUCUUAUGUAAAUAUAAUCAGUUCAGUUUUCCUUUGACCAGCAUUUACGUAACAUAUCUUUUUCCAUUUUUAAACUUAUAAUCUACCUAUAUUAAAAUAUAUAGUCAGGCCAGGUGCAGCGGCUCAUGCGUGUAAUCCCAGCACUUUGGGAGGCCGAGGCAAGCAGAUCACUUGAGGCCAGGAGUUUGAGACCAGCCUGGGCAACGUGACGAAAACCUGUCUCUACCAAAAAUGCAAAAAAUUAGCUAGGUGUGGCGGCAUGUGCCUGUAGUCCUAGCUACUCAGGAGGCUGAGGCAUGAGGAUCGCUUGAACCUGGGAGGCAGAGGUUGCAGUGAGCCAAGAUGGCACCACUGCACUCCAGGCUGAGUGAAAGAGCAAGACUCUGUCUCAGAAUAAAUAAAUAAAUAAAUAAAACAGCAGCAACAAAAUGUAUAGUCAUGUCUUUUUUUAAAAAAAACUCUUCUGUCAUUGUCUUUUAGUUGGUGUGAAUAGACCAUUUACAUUCAUUGUUAUUGUUGAUGUACUUGGAUUUAGGUCUAUCAUUUUGUUAUUUUCUGUUUGCUCUCUUUUGUUUGUUUGAGACAGGAGACAAGGUCUUGCUCUGUUGCCCGGGCUGGAGUGCAGUGGUGCAAUCUCGGUUCACCACAAGCUCUGUCUCCCAGGCUCAAGUGAUCCUUGUGCCUCAGCCUCCUGAGUAGCUGGCACUACAGGCGACCACUGCCAUACCCCACUAAGUUUUGUAUUUUUAGUAGAGACGGGGUUUCGCCAUGUUGGCCAGGCUAGUCUCAAACUCCUGGCCUCAGGUGAUCCGCCCGCCUCAGCCUCCCAAAGUGCUGGGAUUACAGGCGUGAGCCACUGCAUGUGGCUGCUCUCUGUUUUUUAUGCCUCACUGUUUCCUUUCCUGCCUUCUUUUGGGUUAUUUGACUAUUGCUUAGUAUUCAAUUUUAAUUUAUCAAUUGAUUAUUUUAUUAUAUCUCUUUGUGUAGUGUUCUUUAGUGGUGGCUCUAAGAAUUACAGUAUGUACACCAAACUUUUUACUUUCUGCUUAGAAUUAAUAUUUUACCACUUGUAAAAUGUAGGAACCUGGCUAUCAUGUAGGUUCCUUUCCCCUGUCCUUACUAUGUUGUAGUUAUCAUAUGUAUUGCAU